rnacentral:rRNA from 1 species
AAUGACAUAGAGGGCCAGAGGAAAUGUACGUUGACCGCCCGUCUGUAACACGGACCAAGGAGUCUAACAUGCCUGCGAGUGCAAGGGUGGCAAGCCCACGCGCGUAAUGAAAGUAAAGGCACCUGGUGCCGAGAUGGGAAUCGCAAGAUGCACCAUCGCCCGACCAUGCGCUUCUGCAAACGGUUUGAGGAAGAGCAGGUAUGCUAGGACCCGAAAGAUGGUGAACUAUGCCUGAGUAGGGUGAAGCCUGAAGAAAUUCAGGUGGAGGCUCGUAGCGAUACUGACGUGCAAAUCGUUCGUCGAACUUGGGUAUAGGGGCGAAAGACUAAUCGAACCA